rfam:Triticum aestivum genome assembly, contig: Triticum_aestivum_CS42_TGACv1_scaffold_129339_2BL
GGGGAUGUAGCUCAAUUGGUAGAACGCUAAUCAAUGUUGAAUAGAGGCACGGGGUUUGAUUCCUCACAUCUCCA